UUGCCUGGCUCCUGGCCUUCACUUCCCUGCACCUGCUGCUGCUGCGGCCCUGGGACGCCCACGUGGGUGCGUGGGCAUGGGCGGGGUGUGGGUGCUCGCCGCGCUCCUGCCCACAUUUUCCCCAUCACAGCGCUGAGAGAAGGUGGAGGUCUCCUGCCAAUACGUUGGGAUGAGGGAUAAUGAGAUGACCCCCAAAUCCAGAGGGGAUUCCUGAGAUCCGAACGCAACCUUCAAGACUCCAGCUACCAAGCUGUUGUUGGUUCCUCGAUCUCCAGGAAGCUGCAACUCCUUAAUGGUGGGGUAAAGUGAGCAAGUGGAGCAGGUGUCCAUCCAUUUGAGGAAAGGCUGGCAGAUGUGGAAGGGAGGGAACGGAGAAAGACAGCGAGCUAGAGAGAGAGCUUGAGAGCGGGAGUCAAGGAGGGGGCGGAGGAAGGGAGAGAUAACGAUGAUGAUGCUGAUGAUGGUGAUGGUGAUGGUGAUGAUGAUGAGCGGGGGAGACGGUGCGCGCCCUUAGAGUGCCAACUCCACCUGAACCCGAGGCCUGGGAGGGGAGCUACAAGCUCAAGAAAAGGGAAAGGGGCAAGAGGAUGGAUGGAAAGCGGAUAAUAAAAUGGAGAUAUGAAAAAUCCCAAGAACAGAGGUCAGGAUACGAGUACUGGGUUCAUAUCUGAAUGAAGAUCAGAAGAGAAUACGUUAAAAUUAUUUUAAUUUACAACGGGAAAGUAUAGCAGAGUUCUUUUGAGCCAAAGAAUACAAGAGGAUGCUUUUGAGUAAUGUCUUUUAUUGAGUUCAAUUCUGGAUAAUCUCUGCUUCCCUCAGAAUUCUUGAUUGGCCUACAGUUAACCAAAGGCACACAACUCAGGACUUGUAACUGCAUACAUAUGGAGAGAGGUGCUUGGAGAGAAAAUCUGCUCUUCUGCAAUAUUGAAUACAAAAUUAAAGUCUGUCACAGCAAGCAUAACUUGGAGAAAAGAAAUGCAAGAUGAAAUAUAGCUUUUAAAAUCAUUACUAAAAUACAAUGUGUGCAUUUUGCUUAGUCAAUAAAAAUGCACCAUUGUUAUACCUUGAAUUCUGAUUUACUUUAAUAAGCUACUGAGAUAUCUUGAAAAUAGACAUUAUGUGAAACACUCAAACUUAUUCAGCUUUUGUAUUGUUAAUAAAAUGAUUUAAUGAUUAUUAUUUCUAUGUUCUAUAUUUUAGAACUACCUGAAAGCCUAAAAUUUAUCAAUUCCUCCUAAAAUUAUCAUUCUUAAUAAAAUUCAGCAUCAGUUUUA